rnacentral:rRNA from 1 species
UACGUAGGGUGCGAGCGUUAAUCGGAAUUACUGGGCGUAAAGCGUGCGCAGGCGGUUCGUUGUGUCGGCGGUGAAAGCCCCGGGCUUAACCUGGGAAUGGCCGUUGAAACUGGCGAACUGGAGUGUGGCAGAGGGGGGUGGAAUUCCUGGUGUAGCGGUGAAAUGCGUAGAUAUCAGGAGGAACACCUGUGGCGAAAGCGGCGCACUGGACCACAACUGACGCUGAGGCGCGAAAGCUAGGGGAGCAAACAGG